UCCCUGUAGAGCAGUGGAUAGCGCGUUGGACUUCUAAUCCAAAGGUCAUGCAUUCGAAUCUCACCUGGAAAA
rnacentral:tRNA from 1 species